GACGAACGCUGGCGGCGUGCUUAACACAUGCAAGUCGAACGGUAAGGCCCUUCGGGGUACACGAGUGGCGAACGGGUGAGUAACACGUGGGUGAUCUGCCCCGCACUUCGGGAUAAGCCUGGGAAACUGGGUCUAAUACCGGAUAGGACCCUGGGAUGCAUGUCCUGGGGUGGAAAGCUUUUGCGGUGUGGGAUGGGCCCGCGGCCUAUCAGCUUGUUGGUGGGGUGAUGGCCUACCAAGGCGACGACGGGUAGCCGGCCUGAGAGGGUGACCGGCCACAGUGGGACUGAGAUACGGCCCAGACUCCUACGGGAGGCAGCAGUGGGGAAUAUUGCACAAUGGGCGCAAGCCUGAUGCAGCGACGCCGCGUGAGGGAUGACGGCCUUCGGGUUGUAAACCUCUUUCAGCACCGACGAAGCGCAAGUGACGGUAGGUGCAGAAGAAGGACCGGCCAACUACGUGCCAGCCGCCGCAGUAA
rnacentral:rRNA from 1 species